AGGGAAAAGACAAUGAUGUGUUUCCAAGCACAUAUCUGAUCUAUGUGUGGAUGACAGUCAAACUGAGUCUUUUCCAG